rnacentral:rRNA from 1 species
AGAAUCAACGCUGGCGGCGUGCCUAACACAUGCAAGUCGAACGAGAAAGUGGAGCAAUCCAUGAGUAAAGUGGCGACCGGGUGAGUAACACGUGACUAACCUACCUUCGAGUGGGGGAUAACAUCGGGAACCGAUGCUAAUACCGCAUAACAUCGCAAGAUCAAAGCAGUAAUGCGCUUGAAGAGGGGGUCGCGGCUGAUUAGCUAGUUGGCGGGGUAACGGCCCACCAAGGCGAAGAUCGGUAGCCGGCCUGAGAGGGCGCACGGCCACACUGGAACUGAAACACGGUCCAGACUCCUACGGGAGGCAGCAGUGGGGAAUUUUGCGCAAUGGGGGAAACCCUGACGCAGCAACGCCGCGUGGAGGAUGAAGCCCCUUGGGGCGUAAACUCCUUUCGACCAAGACGAUAAUGACGGUACUGGUGGAAGAAGCACCGGCUAACUCUGCGCCAGCAGCCGC